UACAGAGGGGGCAAGCGUUAUUCGGAAUUAUUGGGCGUAAAGGGCGCGUAGGCGGCUUUUCAAGUGACGGGUGAAAUCCCUCGGCUUAACCGAGGAACUGCCUGUCAGACUGGAAGGCUUGAGACCGGGAGAGGUGAGUGGAAUUCCCAGUGUAGCGGUGAAAUGCGUAGAUAUUAGGAAGAACACCAGUGGCGAAGGCGGCUCACUGGCCCGGUACUGACGCUGAGGCGCGAAAGCGUGGGGAGCAAACAGG
rnacentral:rRNA from 1 species